UUCCCUAACUCUGUGUUUCUCAAACACAAAAUUGAAUUGCCCCUCUUAUUUACUAAACUUGCUGCACCUUCUAUGUCCCCACCAAAGGCACAGGUUCAGUUUACAUUGUGAGCAAGACUUCAAGGGACUGGUGCUUGAUUUGCAUGAAGCUGGAAGCCAUGAGCUGGGGAAAACAUGCAUUUUGAAUCAAAUAAAUCAAAUAAUGUUGUAAUGGGGAACACAAAAGCCCUUAUAGAGUCCUUUGCAGGUUCUCCAUCGGUCGGAGAAAAUAACAGAGGCUAACCAGAGAAUAUUGAGAAGCAAAGCAGCUAGUAAGCCUGAUCUUUAUUGAACUGUUGCAACAGGGUGCCCCCUUCACACGCAGGAGAAGGAGGAGGACCCAGAACCAAGGCAUGCCCGCCUUUAUAUAGACAUUUUAAAUUGCCCGCCCUGGAGUCCAAGACCACCCCCAGAAACAUCAUACAUACAUCACAGAAGGGGUGUAGCUCAAGACCACCCCGCAGACACAUCAUACCUACACCACAGAAAGGGUGGUCUACAACAGAAAUCUGAGUGUGUUGUUUUCCUCCUGCCUGGCAGAUUACCUGUUAAUGCUUACCACCCCCCCACAUAUCUACAUCACAGAAAAGGUGGUCUACAACAGACAUUUGAAUGUUGUUUUUCCUGUCUGCCAGGUUAUCUGUUUAAUGGUCACUUGUUUGGAUUGCCUGGGGAGCCUGGCCAGUCUUUUGUAAUGAUAAAUACUUAGUUCCUGAGCCAGGUCACAGGCUCACCCUAUUCAUACACAGACAUACCCUUAAGACAGGAUUUGUGAAUGAAAAGACAAUGGGGAGGCUUUUCCAUUUUCCUUCAACCUUGCAGAGAAACCAUUUGGUCAGUUUGGGAGUCAAAAUGGUUUCAGGGCUGUUUUCCUGUGCUGCUUCAGACAUGUGGUUUAUAUAUUUAUGUACGUGUUUGCUUGGUACAUUUAUGAACAUUUAUUAUAUAUAUAAGACCUUAAUUUUUUUAUUUCAAUGUAAAUCUAUUUAUUUUGGGUUGAAAAAUAGUCACGGCAUCCAAGUGAAAAUGUGCUGCUCAUCUGAAAGGCAGUUUUUUUGAAAGUUUAAUCCACAGGAGGAAGGAGCCAUCAUUUGUUCUGAAAAUGCUAUCUUUAGCAUUAAAUUCCCAAUUCUUAAAUAAGGCUUGGCGCAAAGCUCAGCAGCCAAAUGCAAAAUCUGAAAGCUCACGUGGCUAGGCCUGCAGCUCAACACUGACGGCUGAGAUGGCACAGGGCUAAAACUUUGCCAAAUGGAUACAAUGGAUUCUUAUUGGUUUGGAAAUUCAUAAACUGCACCUGGAAAUUCUGAUAAAGAGAAGAUGGGCUGUUUCUAAAAACAGUCCCUUGCAAACAGACCCCUCCCAAAUUGGCCUCCCACUCUCCACCCCCAUCGUUCAGCUCCGAGGGCCUUCUGGCGGUUCCCUCAUUGAGAGAAGUGAGGUUACAGGGAACCAGGCAGAGGGCCUUCUCGGUAGUGGCGCCCGCCCUGUGGAACGCCCUCCCAUCCGAUGUCAAGGAAAUAAACAACUACCUGACUUUUAGAAGACAUCUGAAGGCAGCCCUGUUUAGGGAAGCUUUUAAGGUUUGAUGUUUUAUCAUGUUUUUAAUAUUCUGUUGGGAGCCACCCAAAGUGGUUGGGGAAACCCAGCCAGAUGGGCAGGGUAUUAAUAAUAAAUUAUUAUUAUUGUUGUUAUUUUUAUGGUACCAAAGAGAGCGUUGAGUGUUGUUUUGCAUUAAGAAGAAAACUGAAAUGUCCCCUACCAGUUGCAGCUACCUCAAGGUUUUGGAAUGUUUUUGGCCCUUCGUACAGAGAGCUCUGGUUCACCUGUUAACAAGACUCCACCUGGUGAGAGGCUUCCAGGUGACUCCAAUGAUUGCGGCUGCUUACUACUCCAGUUUUCCAACACUCAUUGUUGCUGCUUGCCCAUCUUGGCUGUGAGUCCUGGAAGACCUUUUUCUUGGCUUGCAGGCUCCCCGCCCCCCCGGUCUUGGAGAGGGUGCCUUGACUGACCCCUGCCCAAAAACUGAAGCUGCUCAAGAGGCUAGAGACCAUAUUGACAGUAAGUGCUAAAACCCUGCUCCCUGCCUUGCAGGCCUUUUCCAAAAACUGAAGCCCUUAGGCUAGGGUGUUGUUGGGUUUUUUUGGGGGGGGGGUGUUGUUGAGGUUGGUCUUUUGAAUAUUUUAGAUCUUGUGAUUUAUAUGGAAAUGGUUCAGCUUGGUUGUACAUUUUUUAAACGUUUUAUUUACUGCUUAUGACUACUUUGGUUAUGUUGUGGGGUUUUUUCAUGUUGUAAGCUGCCUUGAGCAUGGUUUGAAUGGUGGAAAGGUGGCCUACAAAUUAAAUUAUGUAUUUAGGCAUGCAUAUACAGUGGUACCUUGGGUUAAGUACUUAAUUCGUUCCGUAGGUCCGUACUUAACCUGAAACUGUUCUUAACCUGAAGCACCACUUUAACUAAUGGGGCCUCCUGCUGCUGCCGUGCCGCCGGAGCCCAAUUUCUGUUCUUAUCCUGAAGCAAAGUUCUUAACCUGAAGCAUUAUUUCUGGCUUAGUGGAGUGUGUAACCUGAAGCGUAUGUAACCUGAAGCAUCUGUAACCCGAGGUACCACUGUAUUGGUUUCGUCUGCUCAAUCUGCCAGAACCUGUCCUGUAUAUAACCCGAGGUACCACUGUACUUGCUUGCUCACCUUUCCUCCAGCUGCAUGUGUCCUCUUCUCCUCUGACUUCCCCCAAAAUGCAAGGGACUUUGGGAGGGAAGGCAAGUGACUGAGUUGGAGUAGCAAUAAGAGAAGGUUGGUUAAACUGCCAAAGUCACCUGGAGAAGGCUUCUCGUGUCAUUUACAGGCUCCGAUGCAGAGAAUGCAGCCUAUGCUUAAGAACUUUGGUGUGGAGGAUGUGUAAGAGUCCGCUUGGGGGGAGAUAGAUUUUGUAACGAUCUGAUUCAACAUUCCCAACAAUGUGUGAUUUUUGCCAUGAGAUCAUUUACAAGUAACUGUUUAAUAGGGUUUCCUGGCAUUUUGUUUUUGCGAUUUUUCAUUAUUAUUUGCUAUACAAGUUACUACCAGCCAUGAAUUUUACUGGAAAGGGGCACAAUUUCUGGGCUUGCUUUUAAUCCUUGUGCAGCAGCUAUCUCCUGUACUGCCAGUAAAUAGUUCUUGCUUGCAUGCUUUGAGGCUGUGCUUUACGAAGACUCCUCUUGGCCCGUGUACCAUUUGAAGAGUUGCCCAGAAAACGCAGAAGGAAAUUCACCCUGGUAAAAUUCUGUUAUUACCGUCCUAGAACAUUUUCUCUUGCGCUCUGUUCUCUUUGGAGGCAGUCAUUAGAAAAUAAGAGUCCUGCAUGACCAGGCAAAGGAGCCGUUGAUUUAUUUAUUUUUAUAAAAUUUAUAUGCUGCGUGACCGUAAAAGAAAAAGGGGAAAAAACCAACAACCUCGAAGUGGUUUAGAAACAACAACAACAAUAAAGAAAAAAUUACAGCACUUGAGAACAUAAAAAGUUAAAACACUAAAAACAGAUUAAAAUUCACACCAGCUUUCUACUGUUUGUCAGUGUUUGAUGACUUUCCCCCAUUGUCAUUAUUUGGAGUGGCAAGAACAGCAACAAACAAAGCAAACUGAUAAAUAAAACCGUAUAUUUUG
rnacentral:lncRNA from 1 species